AAUAGAUACCCCGGUAGUCCUUGCCGUAAACGAUGCAUACUUGAUGUAGAUGGGCUCAACCCUGUCUGUGUCGAAGCUAACGCGAUAAGUAUGCCGCCUGGGGAGUACGCUCGCAAGAGUGAAACUCAAAAGAAUUGACGGGGGCCCGCACAAGCAGUGGAGCAUGUGGUUUAAUUCGAUGCAACGCGAAGAACCUUACCCAGGCUCGAAAUGCAGGUGGCGAUAACAGAGAUGUUAUUUUCCGUAAGGACGCCUGUAUAGGUGCUGCAUGGCUGUCGUCAGCUCGUGCCGUGAGGUGUUGGGUUAAGUCCCGCAACGAGCGCAACCCUUAUCAUUAGUUGCCAACACGCAAGGUGGGGACUCUAAUGAGACUGCCUAGGUUAACUAGGAGGAAGGUGAGGAUGACGUCAAGUCCGCAUGGCCUUUAUGUCUGGGGCUACACACGUGCUACAAUGGUCGGUACGGAAGGCAGCAAGACCGUAAGGUGGAGCAAAUCCGUAAAACCGAUCUCAGUUCAGU
rnacentral:rRNA from 1 species